rnacentral:rRNA from 1 species
GACGAACGCUGGCGGCGUGCCUAAUACAUGCAAGUAGAACGCUGAAGGAGGAGCUUGCUCUUCUGGAUGAGUUGCGAACGGAUGAGUAACGCGUAGGUAACCUGCCUGGUAGCGGGGGAUAACUAUUGGAAACGAUAGCUAAUACCGCAUAACAGUAGAUGUUGCAUGACAUUUACUUAAAAGGUGCAAUUGCAUCACUACCAGAUGGACCUGCGUUGUAUUAGCUAGUUGGUGGGGUAACGGCUCACCAAGGCGACGAUACAUAGCCGACCUGAGAGGGGGAUCGGCCAAACUGGGACUGAGACACGGCCCAGACUCCUACGGGAGGCAGCAGGAGGGAAUCUUCGGCAAUGGACGGAAGGCUGAACGAGGAACGCCGCGGGAGUGAAGAAGGGUUUCGGAUCGUAAAGCUCUGUUGUAAGAGAAGAAAGAGUGUGAGAGUGGAAAGUUCACACUGUGACGGUAUCUUACCAGAAAGGGACGGCUAACUACGUG